CAGGUGUUGAUCUAUAACUCCAUCUGGUUCUUUCAGCUUAAGCUUUGACCUUUCAUGACUAUUAUCACAGUUUGAAGCAUUUUCGGUGACCACAGGUGCUUUCGUCUUGGCAUUCAUACCAUACAGAUCUUGACCUAUAUCUUCAUCUGGUUCUUUCAGCUUAAACUUUGACCUUUCAUGACUAUUAUCACAGUUUGAAGCAUUUCCGGUGACCACAGGUGCUUUCCUCUUGGCAUUCAUAACAUACAGGUGUUGAACUAUAUCUCCAUCUGGUUCUUUCAGCUUAAGCUUUGACCUUUCAUGACUAUUAUCACAGUUUGAAGCAUUUUCGGUGACCACAGGUGCUUUCGUCUUGGCAUUCAUACCAUACAGAUCUUGACCUAUAUCUCCAUCUGGUUCUUUCAGCUUAAACUUUGACCUUUCAUGACUAUUAUCACAGUUUGAAGCAUUUCCGGUGACCACAGGUGCUUUCCUCUUGGCAUUCAUAACAUACAGGUGUUGACCUAUAUCUCCAUCUGGUUCUUUCAGCUUAAGCUUUGACCUUUCAUGACUAUUAUCACAG
rnacentral:lncRNA from 1 species